ensembl:lncRNA novel transcript
GGAAUGUAGAGUGGUUAGCUUUCUUUUCAAGAAUGUAUUUCCAUACUUCUUUUGGGUUUCUAGAAAAGAAGGUACAUUUCCUGGAUUUGAGCUUUAGCCACAGAGAGUAUCUGGGACCAGAAACACAGGAUCUCUAUUAAAAGAACACGAAACGUCACUUCCACACGACCUGCAAUUUCUAGAAUGGAGAGAAAGCUUCAGUAAACAUUCAGUAAUAGCAUGCAACAAAGGUGGGAAAACUGAGGCUGAGAUAAAGUAAUGACUUAAUGGCACAGUAAGAGACCAAGUUACGAUUUCAACCCAGAAAUACUUGAUUCCAAAGCCCCAACUCUACUGCAUGAUAUACUAAGCACUAUUAUAUCUCUACUUCUGAGUAGAAUGCUCCAAGAUUUUGCUGGGACAGGAAGGGUAUAAAUAGUACAUACAUACAUACACUUCCAUAUUAUUUUGGUGACAAUAAAAUUACGUCAUAAAAAUGUA